AGGAAUAGAAUCAUGUAGGAAAAAAAUUUUCGGGUAUGUUCAAAAUCUGCCAGGAGAGAAGAACUGGGUUAAGCCAUUGAUGGGUAAACAAAUGCAAAAUUAUUACUUUCCUUCUAAGUAUUUACACUUAGAUUUUAAUUUAAAAGAAUACUUAAGAAUGCAAACUGUUCGUUUUAAAAAAAAAGAGACUGAUAAUGGUUUAUUAAAUUUACAAAAGUGUAUAAAUAUAAUUAUUGAAAAUAAAAAUUCCAUAGAUUCUUUUUUUUCGAAAAUUUCAAAAAAUUUGCUUAUGGAAAAUCAAAGCUUAAAAAAUUUAUAUUCGUUGUAUUUAACUAUUUUUCCAACAGUUAAGCUAAAACAUAAAUUAUCAGAUGACGACAUGAAAGAAUUAAAUUUACAAAAUGAAAAUUUCAGUUGGUUCGAUUUCGGUUUAAAUUUAAAAGAGGAACAAAAUAUACAACCGUUUAAAGAAAGGGUUAAAAAUGAAGAUAUAUAUACAGGUGAUAAACACAUGAAUAACAUGAGUUUAAGUCAUAAUAAUAAUAAAGAAGAUAUAUUGGAUAUACAGAAAGUAAACGUAUUAAAUAAAAACACUAUCCAAAACGAAAAACAUGUGGACGAUUACAAAGAAAUAGAUAUGAGCAGGAAUCCUAUCGAAGAAAGUUAUGCAAAUAGCACUGACGAUACACGCAACAGUGGAUAUAAAAGCAUCAUUUACACAAAAACAAAAAAAUGCUUACAAUUUAAAAAGAUAAUAUGGAAAGAGCAAAGGGGUAAGGUAAAUGUUAUGAAACACCCCAAAUUAAAUGACGAACCAAUUUAUUAUCUAGACUGUAAUAUAAAUAUAGGUUUAGAAGAAAAAAAAAAAGAAAAUGAAAAAGAAAUAAAAGAAAAAGAAGAAGCAAAAAAGCAAUUAUUAAAUUUAUUAAAUGAAAAUGAAAACUUAAAAAAAACAUUUUCAAUAAGGAAUAGAUUCAUAGACCCUUUAUAUCUAAGGAGAAGAUAUUCCUUUAUUGAUAAGUUAACUAAAAAGAAAAUUAAAAAAGAAAAGCAUGUGACGUACAGAAAACACUUUAUUCAACAUGCGGAUGAAAAAAAAGUAUGGCCAGAUAAUCAAGGGUUAUUAAAUAAAAUAUAUCCAAACCCGUACUCAUGAAAUGGCUUUUUUUUUUUUAUUAUUUUUAUUUUUAAACAUGUAGAAUUUAAUUAUUAUAUGUUGUAAAUAUGUUUUGCUUUUGUUUUUGUUUUUGUUUUUUAUAAUGCAUCACAUGAGCCAUUUUGGUUGAAGGUUUUUAUUUUUGCUUAUCAUGCC
rnacentral:lncRNA from 1 species